rnacentral:rRNA from 1 species
UGGUGCAUGGUUGUCGUCAGCUCGUGUCGUGAGAUGUUGGGUUAAGUCCCGCAACGAGCGCAACCCUCGACCUUAGUUGCCAGCAUUCAGUUGGGCACUCUAAGGUGACUGCCGGCUAAAAGUCGGAGGAAGGUGGGGAUGACGUCAAAUCACCAUGCCCCUUAUGACCUGGGCUACACACGUGCUACAAUGGGCGGUACAAAGGGUCGCGAACCCGCGAGGGGGAGCCAAUCCCAAAAAGCCGCUCCCAGUUCGGAUUGCAGGCUGCAACUCGCCUGCAUGAAGCCGGAAUCGCUAGUAAUCGCGGAUCAGCAUGCCGCGGUGAAUACGUUCCCGGGCCUU